GAUGAACGCUGGCGGCGUGCUUAACACAUGCAAGUCGAACGGAGUUUGUGCGGAAGGAGUCUUCGGACAACAGAAGUAUAAACUUAGUGGCGGACGGGUGAGUAACGCGUGGGUAACCUGCCUUAUACAAGGGGAUAACAGAGGGAAACUUCUGCUAAUACCGUAUAAAAAUAUUUCACGCAUGUGAGAUAUUUGAAAGAUUUAUCAGUAUAAGAUGGACCCGCGUCUGAUUAGGUAGUUGGUGAGGUAGAGGCUCACCAAGCCGACGAUCGGUAGCCGAUCUGAGAGGAUGACCGGCCACAUUGGGACUGAGACACGGCCCAAACUCCUACGGGAGGCAGCAGUGGGGAAUAUUGGACAAUGGGGGCAACCCUGAUCCAGCGACGCCGCGUGAGUGAAGAAGUAUUUCGGUAUGUAAAGCUCUAUCGAUAACGGAAGAAAAUGACAAGCCGUUAAGGAAGAAGCCCCGGCUAACUACGUGCCAGCAGCCGCGGUAAUACGUAGGGGGCAAGCGUUAUCCGGAUUUAUUGGGCGUAAAGCGCGUCUAGGUGGUUAUGUAAGUCUGAUGUGAAAAUGCAGGGCUCAACUCUGUAUUGCGUUGGAAACUGCAUGACUAGAGUACUGGAGAGGUAAGCGGAACUACAAGUGUAGAGGUGAAAUUCGUAGAUAUUUGUAGGAAUGCCGAUGGGGAAGCCAGCUUACUGGACAGAUACUGACGCUAAAGCGCGAAAGCGUGGGUAGCAAACAGG
rnacentral:rRNA from 1 species